rnacentral:rRNA from 1 species
ACGAAUGCUGGCGGCGUGUCUAAGGCAUGCAAGUCGAGCGGAUUAUUUUUGGUAGCAAUACCGGAGAUAGUCAGCGGCAAACGGGUGCGUAACACAUUGGUAACCUGCCUCGCAGUCGGGCAUAACCCACCGAAAGGUGGACUAAUUCCACGAUGGCCAUAGAGGGAUGCGUAUCCUUUUAUGUAAAGCGCAAAACGCGCUGCGAGAGGGGCCUAUGGCCUAUCAGCUUGUUGGCGGGGUAACGGCCCACCAAGGCUAUGACGGGUAGGGGAUGUGAGAGCAUGAUCCCCCUCACUGGGACUGAGACACUGCCCAGACACCUACGGGUGGCUGCAGUCGAGAAUAUUCCUCAAUGGGCGAAAGCCUGAAGGAGCGACGCCGCGUGUGGGAUGAAGGGCUUCGGCUCGUAAACCACUUUUGCCGGGGAAGAACCAUGACGGUACCCGGAGAAUAAGGGGUUGCUAACUCUGU